rnacentral:rRNA from 1 species
AUGGUUUGGAAGGCUUGGGCACCGCCCAAGGUUAAGUUCUUCGCGUGGUUGGCAAUUCAAAAUCGUAUUUGGACCAUCGACAGAUUGUCCAAGCGGGGAUGGACAAACUGUGGGCUUUGCCCUCUUUGUAAGCAAGUGCAAGAGUGCGGCACUCACCUCUUUUUCAAGUGUCAUUACACUUCGAGAGUAUGGAGAUUGGUCACUGAGAAGCUACGUCUCGGGGACUUGAGUAUCACCUCUUGGCAUUUGGAGGGCUCCAUUUAGGAUUGGUGGGCAAGUCAAACUCGUGCCGGCACCACAACGAGAAAGGCCAUGGCUUUGCUUACCAUGCUUGUGUCAUGGACCUUGUGGAAUGAGAGGAACUCAAUGGUUAUCUGCAAUAAGAGCACGACGUCAACAAUUUUUCUUAGCAUCAUCAUGACCAAGGCAAAUCUCUGGAUCACUGCCGGAGCAAAGAAGUUAGGGUCAAUUGUCUCACGAGAAUAA